rnacentral:tRNA from 1 species
UGUCUUAUAGUUAAUAUCAUAACGUCAAACUGCAAUUUUGAAGUAAAAUCAAAUUUAAGACUU